GAUCAUGGGCUCAGGAUGAACGCUAGCUACAGGCUUAACACAUGCAAGUCGAGGGGAAACGACAUCGAAAGCUUGCUUUUGAUGGGCGUCGACCGGCGCACGGGUGAGUAACGCGUAUCCAACCUGCCCAUCACUUGGGAAUAACCUUGCGAAAGUAAGACUAAUACCCAAUGAUAUCCCACGAAGGCAUCCGAAUGGGAUUAAAGAUUUAUCGGUGAUGGAUGGGGAUGCGUCUGAUUAG
rnacentral:rRNA from 1 species